UGGAGAUUCAUAAUCCAUACUUGUGAGGGUUCCUUCCGACAAAUGGUAUCAGAGCACGUGGCUGUCCAAAUUAUGGUGGUGUUGAUUGAGGUUGGAGAAGAUAGAGAAGACAUGCUCAAUCAAGAUAAAGAUCAAUCGGUAUGAUGGGAAGAGUCAUUUCUUCCUAUAGCAAGCGAGAGUGAAGGAUGUGCUCAUCCAAUAAGGA
rnacentral:lncRNA from 1 species